rnacentral:lncRNA from 1 species
GGAGAGAUCCUACACCUUUAAGAAGUGGUGCAGGGGACAGCAGCAUGUGAGCAAGAGACUGUUCCUGAAGGAGGCGACCUCCGUGUUGGUCAGUGCAUAGAGGGGCCGCCAUAGAGCCCGGGAGAGGCGGCGGCAGCAGGGUGUCAUCCCCUCCCUCAAGAUGAUCUUCAGUUACCUGGAGCUGCUGCAUGAUGAGACAGAUUAUUAUGUGGAGGGGAAUGUGCUCAGCUGUCGGAAUGAGGAAUUCAAAUUCAUCAAGGACAUCGAGAUGGUCCAGAAGGCUGCAAAUCUGUACACCGUGCAGCCCAAUGAGCAUUUUGGUGCCUGGUUCCAGGCCGUGGAGCCCCUGAGUGAGGAGGCGAGCUACAGCCUGUCCUGUCAGCUGGAGCCACGAUACCAGUGGGCCAGAAAGAUUCGACUCUUCUUCAAAGACAAGAAGAGCCACUCAUCUUCCCGCCCAGGGCUGAGUGAGUGUCUGGACUGGCAGUGGCUAAAUCCAGGGGCUCAGUACAGAUUCAGGCCAAGUCUGGGCCAGGGGAGUCAGACAGCUGUGGUGCUGGGGCCCCAGCUCCACCGCUGAGCAGUCCUGCCACGGGCGAUUCCCCUCGCAUUUCUGGGACUGGUUUGUUCCUCUGUGAAGUGGGUGACACUAAAUAUCAGCCCCUGUGUCGGGGACAGAUGGGGUGCUGUUGACUGACUGAGCCAACAGAUGGGGCACAGGGUACAGUGGGUGCAGGGAGGGGGGAGAGUAUGCUGUGAUACUGGGGCAGGCCCCCUAGGAAAUUCCUCUCUCUAUCCAGACACCAGGCCCCCAAAAAAGAGCCCAGCGGUGGUGGCAGAUGACGCUCCUGAGACCAGCUGAACUACAGCAGGGACACAGCGGGGACACUCAGGUACACAGGUCCACCUCUCAGAUGCUGAUGUGAAUGAAAACUUUGUGAUCCAUUUCCUGGGGUCCCUGAAGGCCACAAGGCAGUGGACAAUCUGCUCAUCUCCCUCACACAUUUUCCCCAGAGCCUAUUUCCCUCUUUGGAGGGGCCAUGUUUUUGUUGUCAAUGAUAAAUGCUAAGUUUGAGUAUUCUAUUAAAUUUCUGUUUUUUUUCUCAGCCUGGGAGUGGACGUGUGGUUCUUUCACUCUCUGAGCUCAUGGAAAUGAGAUCCAGAAUCUCACAUUCCUCCUUGAAUUCAGAAACCUCGCAGAGUCCUCAGCUCAGGGCAUGUGGUGAAGGGAGAAGUGCCAGUGCCGUCCCUGGCUGCUGGACAGUCCCGUGUCCCCCUCACUCAGAGGACAGGGUCAUUGCAGUGUGGUUCACCUGGUCCUAGAGCAGAAGCAGCCCCUCCGAUCUCCUGGGGCUGAAACGUUGGAGGGACUUUCUCUGUCAGAACAACAGCCACGGAGACGGGGGUGUCUUUAAAAGUAGCACUUGCUUGGGG